UUGAGAUUAUUUUUUAGUGUUUAGGGUUGUUUUAGCGUUAGAUGGGAUUUAUGGUUAGGUUACAGUUUUAACGCUACAGUUUUAGCGUUAGAUGGGAUUUAUGGUUAGGUUUAGGUAGGGUUUUAGGGUUAGGUUUAGGCAGGGUUUAGGGUUAGCAUGGUUUAGGGUUAGGUAAGGUUUAGGAUUAGAAAGGGUUUAGGGUUAGGUAGGAUUUUUUGGGUUAGGCAGGGUUUAGGGUUAGGAAGGGUUUAGGGUUAGAAAGGGUUUAGGGUUAGGUAGGGUUUAGGGUUAAAAAGGGUUUUGGGUUAGGUAGGGUUUAGGGUUAGGUAGGGUUUUAAGUUAGGUAGGGUUUAGGGUUAGGUAUGGUUUAGGGUUAGGUAGGGUUUAGGCUUGGUAGGGCUUAGGGUUAGGUAGAGUUUAGGGUUUACGGUUAGGUAGGGUUUAGGGUUGGUAGGGCGGUUUAGGUAGGGUUUAGGGUUAGGUAGGGUUUAGGGUUGGUAGGGCUUAGGGUUAGGUAGGGUUUAGGGUUAGGUAGGGUUUAGGGUUACAUAGGGUUUAGGGUUACGUAGGGUUUAGGGUUAGGUAGGGCUUAGAAUUGGGAUAGAGUUUAGGGUUAGUAAGGUUUAGGGUUAGGUAGGGUUUAGGGUUAUGUAGGGUUUAGGGUUAUAAUGGUUUUACGGUUAGGUAGGGUUUAGGGUUAUGUAGGGUUAGGGUUAGGUAGGGUUUAGAAUUAGGUAGGGUUUAGGGUUAGCAUGGUUUAGGGUUAGAAGGGUUUAGGGUUAGUAGGGUUUAAUUUAGGGUUAGGUAGGGUUUAGGGUUAAGUAAGGUUUCGGGUUAGAAGGGGUUUAGAGUUAGGUAGGGUUUAGGGUUAUGUAAGGUUUAGGGUUAGAAGGAGUUUAGGGUUAGGUAGGUUUUAGGGUUUAGGGUUAGGUAGGGUUUAGGGUUAGGAAGGGUUUCGAAUUUGGUAGGGUUUAGGGUUAGGUAGGGUUUAGGGUUAGGUUUUAGGUAAUGUUUAGGGUUAGGUAGGGUUUAGGGUUGGUAGGGCUUAGGGUUUAGGUAAGGUUUAGGGUUAGGUAGGGCUUAGGGUUGGUGGGGCUUAGGGUUAGGUAGGGUUUAGGGCUAGGUAGGGUUUAGGGUUAGGUAGGAUUUAGGGUUACAUAGGGUUUAGGGUUACGUAGGGUUUAGGGUUAGGUAGGGCUUAGAA
rnacentral:lncRNA from 1 species